GGAUGUGAGGGCGAUCUGGCUGCGACAUCUGUCACCCCAUUGAUUGCCAGGGUUUAUUUGGCUGAUCUGGCUGGCUAGACAGGUGUCCCCUUCCUCCCUCAUGGCUUUAUGUGUGUCCCUCCCAAAGUUGUGCGCUCAGUUGAAGAGGACAACCCUCCCCAAUAGAGACGUACUGUUCCCCUGCUAGAACCUCUAAACAAGCUCAAGGUUAUGAAUUAGUAUAAACUAAAUAAUUUUUAAAGAAAGCUUUCUGAAGUGGGAUUUUUUCUUCUUA
rnacentral:snRNA from 1 species